rnacentral:lncRNA from 1 species
AAUAAAAUAAUAAUAAUAAUAAUAAUAAUAAUAAUACAGAAGUUUGGAACAGUAGAAGUAAAAUCUGAACGGAGGUCAUCUCAAAGUCAUUCACUUUUCAAGGACAGAGUCGGGGAUCUGUUCCAACUAGCUUCCGAUGGAACAAUUUAAUCACCUAGACCAGUUAGCCCUUAAAAACAAAGUAAGCCACGCAGACAGUUAAUGCUGGGCUUGGUCGGGCUUCAAAAGCUGGCUGCUCCGGGAAGCGACCCGUCUGAGGCACAUGGAGGGCUCGGCACCUGCAUGAACAGACCCGGCAGCCCUCGGCGGCGCGGCAGGGCAAGCACUGUUUCGGAGAGUGGUGACUCAGCGCUGAGUCAGACAAGCACUACGUGCGGCUGCCAGCACCGGCUCCGCGGCUGCCGGGAUUGGUGACGUCCAGGAUCCACAGCCCGGGAAGGGGCCCACGUGACCCCCGUUUCCAGGGCUUAGACUGACGCUUUCAUCCGCUGUGUUUCCUCAGAUCUGAGAUUCCACUUGCUCUGGCGGGGUUGUUUGUUUGUUUGUUUGUUUUGGUUUGGUGGGUUUUGUUUUGUUUUAGUAUGAGCUUAGAUUUUUAAUAACCGGACACCCAUUUUCCUGGCAGGGGAGUGACAUGGUGAUAUUUUUUUAAUAGUUGCCAAUCUUUUAAAUGAGGCAUCAGAAGAAUGAGAUAGUAAAACAAAAGCAUGUGUUGCAAAUGAUGCGUCAAAUCAUCCCAUGACUUUGAGGCUGAAUUAAUGUGGCCGCGGUGGAAGCCCUGAACAUUGGGUAACCAUGGAAAGUCUUUAGGAUCUGAUUUGCUGUGUUAAAGGAAGCAAAUCUUUGUUCUUUGUUCAACCACUCUCUAAUAAAGGAUUCCAAAAGCUGGAGACAUAUUUGUUACAGAGAGCCCUGGCAGUGCACUUGGGUAUUUGGCCUUCUAGCAUCCUGUUAGGAUUGUGCCAAGCGUGGUGGUGAUGGUUUUGGCGAUGCUGUGUCGAAAGCCAACAGUGGGUUUUGCAAGGUUCAGUGCAUCUGGUCAAUAAGAAAAGCCAGUGACAGGGCAAGUAAUAACUACUUAGGGACACCUUUGAGCUGAUUUUUAAGACAAUCACACUAGGUCUUUAGAACCCGUGCCAACUGUUGCCAAUUGUUCUGCAGAUUCGGGAAAAAUCUAUCUAUCCUUGUGGAUCUCCGUGUGCGUGUGAGACCAUGCACAACUGUGGAGGCGCCUUCUGUUCAGAAUGUUUUCUUGCAAGGAAGAACUUCGAGGUUUCAUUGGCUCUCCAAGCUUAUGUAUAGAGAGCUUGGGACAGAUGAGCAGAGCAGUCCUAGAAGAGAGAACAUCACCUUUGC